UUGCUCACAUCCUCUGUGAUGCACAUGCAACAGCAUUGAUUUGGUUCAUUGGUUCGUGCUGGGAAGCUAAGACAUCCUGCAGGGAUAUUAACACAAUGUUGAUGGGAAAAUGAGAGGUCUGAUAAUUGGAGACAGCAUCUCAGAGGAUGGAGAGCCAAAAAACACAGUCUGAGAAACCUGAUCCAGGCCUUUCACAGUCCUUAGGAACAUAUUUAUCAUAUUACGAGCAUGAAGAAAUGAAAAGAGAUGGCAGUCGUCCUGACAGUGAGACAGAGGAAAACAAGGACUCAUCAUCUCAGAUUGUCUCAUGUGCCCAUGCAGAUUCAGCUCCCGACCGGGAGUGGUUCCCAGAGGGACGGUUCGUCUGGCUUGUUGUCCUGGCAGCCAUCUGGUGCAAUGGAUCAAUCUUUGGGAUUCAGAAGUCUUUUGGAAUCAUACAUAUGAUGCUUGUUAAAGCUCACGAGGACUCAAAUAAUGAAGUUUCUCAGUUUGCAACAGCCUGGGUUGGUGCUCUGGCCAUGGGUAUGGUCUUUCUCUGCUCCCCCCUGGUCAGUAUUGUCACUGAUCACGUUGGCUGCAGGGUGACGGCCAUUUGUGGGUCCCUUGUGGCUUUCUUGGGACUUCUGACAAGUUCAUUCACCAUGUCGUUAGGUUUGUGGUACUUCACCUAUGGGGUUCUGUUUGGCUGUGGCUCCUCCUUUGUCUUCUUGCCUUCUCUGGUGACCCUGGGACACUACUUCCCUCAGCGCCUCGGCCUGGUCAACGGGGUGGUGAUGGCAGGCAGCAGUGUUUUCUCCAUAAGCCUGCCUGCCCUGCUGGAGGAGGUGGGGACACCGCUGGGCCUCAGCACCACCUUUCAGAUCCUCAGUGCCCUCAUGCUAAUCCAGGCAGCCCUGGCAUUCUCCUUCUGCUCACGCCUUUACCACAGGAAUUUGUCCACUAACACGGCCCAGCUUUCAUCUGCCAACCUGAGCAGUGGCUGGCAGCAGGGCCUGACACAGACCAGGAGGUACUGCAACCUGGGAGUGUUUCACCUCCCUAAUUACAGGGUGUGGGCUUUUGGAGUGGCUACGGCUAUGCUGGGCAACUUUGUGCCCUACAUUUACCUGAUGAGUUUUGUGGAGGAGCAGUUUGUGGAGACGCCAGUGAAGGAGUGGGUCCUCCUGGUGUGUAUCGGGGUGACCUCCUGCGUAGGACGCCUGCUGUUUGGCAGGGUGGGAGACCUGCUCCAUGGGGCACACAAGAUCUACCUUCAGGCAGGCUCCUUCAUGGUGCUUGGCUUGGCGUCUAUGCUGGUCCCUCUGUGUGUCAGAUUUGAGGGGCUGGUUGCAGUGUGUCUACUGCUGGGGCUGUGUGACGGCUGCGUCAUCACCCUCAUGGCCCCUGUGACAUUUGAACUGGUGGGCCCCCAGAGAGCCUCCCAGGCCAUCGGCUACCUGAUGGGCCUAAUGGCCCUCCCCAUGACCGCCGGACCCCCCCUCGCAGGGCUACUCCAUGACCACUUUGGAGAUUACCACAUGGCCUUCUACCUGGCUGGGGUUCCUCCCAUGGUCGGAGGUUUCCUACUCUUCUUUGUCCCGAAUAUUCAUCAAUGCCUGCUGGAGGGCCAGCAAGAAACCCUCUCCAGACCCAGCCCUGACCUCCAGCUAUCCCCUCCUGGCUCGAACCACCAGUCCCCUCUCAUCCCUGGUCACCAGCUCCCCCCAACCAGCCCUGACCUCCAGUUAUCCCCCCUUGGCUCGGACCACCAGUCCCCUCCCAUCCCUGGUCACCAGCUCCCCCCAACCAGCACUGACCUCCAGCUAUCCCCCCGUGGCUCGGACCACCAGUCCCCUCCCAUCCCUGGUCACCAGCUCCCCCCAACCAGCCCUGACCUCCAGUUAUCCCCCCUUGGCUCGGACCACCAGUCCCCUCCCAUCCCUGGUCACCAGCUCCCCCCAACCAGCCCUGACCUCCAGCUAUCCCCCCGUGGCUCGGACCACCAGUCCCCUCCCAUCCCUGGUCACCAGCUCCCCCCAACCAGCCCUGACCUCCAGUUAUCCCCCCUUGGCUCGGACCACCAGUCCCCUCCCAUCCCUGGUCACCAGCUCCCCCCAACCAGCACUGACCUCCAGUUAUCCCCCCUUGGCUCGGACCACCAGUCCCCUCCCAUCCCUGGUCACCAGCUCCCCCCAACCAGCCCUGACCUCCAGCUAUCCCCCCGUGGCUCGGACCACCAGUCCCCUCCCAUCCCUGGUCACCAGCUCCCCCCAACCAGCCCUGACCUCCAGCUAUCCCCCCGUGGCUCGGACCACCAGUCCCCUCCCAUCCCUGGUCACCAGUUCCCCCCAACCAGCACUGACCUCCAGCUAUCCCCUCCUGGCUCGGACCACCAGUCCCCUCUCAUCCCUGGUCACCAGCUCCCCCCAACCAGCCCUGACCUCCAGCUAUCCCCCCUUGGCUCGGACCACCAGUCCCCUCCCAUCCCUGGUCACCAGCUCCCCCCAACCAGCCCUGACCUCCAGUUAUCCCCCCUUGGCUCGGAUCACCAGUCCCCUCCCAUCCCUGGUCACCAGCUCCCCUCAACCAGCCCUGACCUCCAGUUAUCCCCCCUUGGCUCGGACCACCAGUCCCCUCCCAUCCCUGGUCACCAGCUCCCCCCAACCAGCCCUGACCUCCAGCUAUCCCCCCGUGGCUCGAACCACCAGUCCCCUCCCAUCCCUGGUCACCAGCUCCCCCCAACCAGCCCUGACCUCCAGCUAUCCCCUCCUGGCUCGGACCACCAGUCCCCUCUCAUCCCUGGUCACCAGCUCCCCCCAACCAGCCCUGACCUCCAGCUAUCCCCUCCUGGCUCACACCACCAGUCCCCUCUCAUCCCUGGUCACCAGCUCCCCCCAACCAGCCCUGACCUCCAGCUAUCCCCCCUUGGCUCGGACCACCAGUCCCCUCCCAUCCCUGGUCACCAGCUCCCCCCAACCAGCCCUGACCUCCAGUUAUCCCCCCUUGGCUCGGACCACCAGUCCCCUCCCAUCCCUGGUCACCAGCUCCCCCCAACCAGCCCUGACCUCCAGUUAUCCCCUCCUGGCUCGGACCACCAGUCCCCUCCCAUCCCUGGUCACCAGCUGCCCCCAACCAGCCCUGACUAAUCGUCCCCUCCCAUCCCUGGUCAUCACCAUCGCUGCCAGGACUCAAGAAUGUUGACAAAAGUGUGCUGGAGUCGGAGCAGAUCCGAACCAGCUUCAACUCAUUCCAUAAUCAAGACCUCUACAAAUACUCAGUCCUGCCAGUUCCACUCUGCCAGAUUGUAAUCUCUGCUCAGUCAGCUCAUGAUUCUAGCCAUAAAUAUGAUUAUUCAAGAUCCUGUUACGCUGCUGUGCCUGUUUCCCUGCCUGACACUGUUUAUCCUCUCAUUGUAGUUACCGCUCUGUCUCUGGCUCCUGCUCCACAUCUCACCACCCAACUACCUUACUCUGGAUUUUACUCACCACCACUACCUUGGAUUCCCCUCAGGACCUGUUCACCCUGUUCUACUCAGCUAACUUCAACCUCAGUCUCCACAUCUGGUUUUCUGCAACUCAUCCGAGCUUCCCCGGAUCUGCACUCCAUAUCUCUCUGUGCAACAAAUAUUUUGAUUCAUUCAUCCCUGUUUCCUCAUCUGAGUCUGCUUUUGGGUUCCCCUGUGUCCCUCCGCUUAACAAUUGGUUCUCCAACCAUUCAAAAGCUAGAGCCAAAUUCGAA